rnacentral:rRNA from 1 species
CUCAGUUCGGAUUGGAGUCUGCAACCCGACUCCAUGAAGCUGGAUUCGCUAGUAAUCGCGCAUCAGCCACGGCGCGGUGAAUACGUUCCCGGGCCUUGUACACACCGCCCGUCAAGCCAUGGAAGCCGGGGGUGCCUGAAGUGCGCUGCCGCAAGGAGCGUCCUAGGGUAAAACCGGUGACUGGGGCUAAGUCGUAACAAGGUAUC